rfam:Anopheles stephensi strain SDA-500 unplaced genomic scaffold supercont1.77, whole genome shotgun sequence.
AUCUUUGCGCAACGCCGAUAUCGUAACCGAUGAUGUACAACAGAGGUGCGUUAAUAAUUGCUUGUUGAAAACUAAUACCAACAUCCCGCCUGGCAGACGUGAAAUAACGUCCACUAUGGCAAUUUUUUCAUGCUUCGAAAGAGG